ensembl:rRNA 5S_rRNA 5S ribosomal RNA
GCUUACGGCCAUACCACCCUGAGAACGCCCGAUCUCGUCUGAUCUCGGAAGCUAAGCAGGGUCGGGCCUGGAUAGUACUUGGAUGGGAGACCGCCUGGGAAUACCAGGUGCUGUAAGCU